AUACCUGGCAGAGGAGAAAAAAUAAUCACGUAGGUGUUUUUCCCAGGGUGAGGAUAAUCCCUUAUACUCUGAAUGUGCUGAUUCCUGUGAUUUCCCCAAGUUGGGAAACUCUGGCCAUAGUUUUUGGUAAGUGGUGGAUGGAGUCGCGCUUCCCUUGU
rnacentral:snRNA from 1 species